UCGAGGGGCAUCGGGGCGAGGAGCAAUCCUUGCCGCCGGCGACCGGCGCACUGGUGAGUAACGCGUAUGCGACCUGCCCGUUGCAGGGGGAUAAUCGGGAGAAAUCCCGUCUAAUACCGCGUAACGCCGCGGGGCUGCAUGGCCCUGCGGCCAAAGGAAGCGAUUCCGGCAACGGAUGGGCAUGCGUGACAUUAGCUAGUUGGCGGGGCAACGGCCCACCAAGGCGACGAUGUCUAGGGGUUCUGAGAGGAAGGUCCCCCACACUGGUACUGAGACACGGACCAGACUCCUACGGGAGGCAGCAGUGAGGAAUAUUGGUCAAUGGGCGCGAGCCUGAACCAGCCAAGUCGCGUGAGGGAUGACGGCCCUACGGGUUGUAAACCUCUUUUGUCGGGGAGCAAAUUCCGCCACGUGUGGCGGAGUCGAGAGUACCCGAAGAAAAAGCAUCGGCUAACUCCGUGCCAGCAGCCGCGGUAAUACGGAGGAUGCGAGCGUUAUCCGGAUUUAUUGGGUUUAAAGGGUGCGUAGGCGGACUGUCAAGUCAGCGGUAAAAUACGGGGGCUCAACCUCCGCCCGCCGUUGAAACUGACGGUCUUGAGUGGGCGAGAAGUAUGCGGAAUGCGUGGUGUAGCGGUGAAAUGCAUAGAUAUCACGCAGAACUCCGAUUGCGAAGGCAGCAUACCGGCGCCCAACUGACGCUGAAGCACGAAAGCGUGGGUAUCGAACAGGAUUAGAUACCCUGGUAGUCCACGCAGUAAACGAUGAAUACUAGCUGUCCGGGGCGAAUGAGCCCUGGGUGGCACAGCGAAAGCGUUAAGUAUUCCACCUGGGGGAG
rnacentral:rRNA from 1 species